ACGUAGGUGGCGAGCGUUGUCCGGAUUUACUGGGCGUAAAGGGCGCGUAGGCGGACUUUUAAGUGAGAUGUGAAAUACCCGGGCUCAACUUGGGUGCGGCAUUUGAAACUGGAAGUCUAGAGUGCAGGAGAGGAGACUGGAAUUCCUAGUGUAGCGGUGAAAUGCGUAGAGAUCAGGAGGAACACCAGUGGCGAAGGCGGUUCUCUGGACCGUGACUGACGCUGAGGCGCGAAAGCGUGGGGAGCAAACAG
rnacentral:rRNA from 1 species